rnacentral:rRNA from 1 species
UACAGAGGUCUCAAGCGUUGUUCGGAUUCAUUGGGCGUAAAGGGUGCGUAGGCGGCGCGGUAAGUCGGGUGUGAAAUCUCCGGGCUUAACUCCGAAACUGCAUUCGAUACUGCCGUGCUUGAGGACUGGAGAGGAGACUGGAAUUUACGGUGUAGCGGUGAAAUGCGUAGAUAUCGUAAGGAAGACCAGUGGCGAAGGCGGGUCUCUGGACAGUUCCUGACGCUGAGGCACGAAGGUCAGGGGAGCAAACGGG